rnacentral:rRNA from 1 species
GUGAGGAAUAUUGGGCAAUGGGCGCAAGCCUGACCCAGCCAUGCCGCGUGAAGGUAGAAGGCCCUAUGGGUUGUAAACUUCUUUUAUACGGGAAGAAACUUCCGAACGUGUUCGGAAUUGACUGUACCGUAGGAAUAAGCAUCGGCUAACUCCGUGCCAGCAGCCGCGGUAAUACGUCGGGGACGAGCGUUGUCCGGAUUUACUGGGCGUAAAGGGCGCGUAGGCGGUCAUUUAAGUCAGCUGUGAAAUGGUGCGGCUUAACCGCAUCAUGCGGUGGAAACUGGAAGACUGGAGUGCUGGAGAGGCAAGUGGAAUUCCCAGUGUAGCAGUGAAAUGCGUAGAUAUUGGGAAGAACACCGGUGGCGAAGGCGACUUGCUGGCCAGCAAUUGACGCUGAGGCGCGAAAGCCAGGGGAGCAAACGGGAUUAGAAACCCGUGUAGUCC